rnacentral:lncRNA from 1 species
UCUCGAUCUCCUGACCUCGCGAUCCGCCCGCCUUGGCCUCCCAAAGUGCUGGGAUUAUGCAUUCUCUCUUUACAUCACAAUGACCAUGACCUUGGAUAUGGAGUCCACUCAAAAGUAAUCUGAACUAAUAAACAAAUUCUGCAAGGUUGAAGAAUACAAGGAGAUAUGGAAUCACCAAAGAAUACUGACACAGAAGAACCAAGUAGGAGAGUGUGCAAUUCCCAGUCUCAUAUCUCAUUACAAAACCAAACUAAACAAGGCAUUGGCACAAGAAUAGACAUACAGAUCAAUGGAACAGAACUGAGACCCCAGAAAUAAAACCAAGUGGUCAGCUGACUUUUUGAAAGCUUGCCAAGACCAUCAAAUGGGGAAAAAUUUUUUUAAUAUACGUUGCAGGGAUAAUUGGAUAUAAACAUCCAAAAGAAUGAACUUGGAUGCUUAUCUUGCACCAUAUGCAAAAAUAACUGAAAAUGAAUUCAAGGCUAUAACUAUUAACUCAGAAAAAAAAAAUGAGCUGCAUUUUCAUGAUCCUAGGUUUGGCAAAAUACUCUUAAGUAUAACUCCAAAAAAAAACCCACCAAAAAACCUAGAUAAGUUAAAUUUCAUCAAAAUUAAACAUUUUGGGCAUCAAAGGGCAUCAUUAAUAAAAUGAAUAGACUUACUACAGAUUGUGAGAAAAUGCUUGCAUAUCAUACGUCUGGUAAGCAAAUUGUUUCUAGAGUAAUAUAUUAAAAAACUCUUACAACUCAAUAAGAAGAAGACAAAUAACACAAACUAAAAACUGGCAAAGGAUCUGAAUAGAUCUUUCUCCCAGCAAGAUCUACAAAUAGCUGAUAAUCACAUGAAGAGGUGCCUGGCAUCAUUAGUCAUCAGGAAAAUGC